GACGAACGCUGGCGGCGUGCUUAACACAUGCAAGUCGAACGGAAAGGCCCUGCUUUUGUGGGGUGCUCGAGUGGCGAACGGGUGAGUAACACGUGAGUAACCUGCCCUUGACUUUGGGAUAACUUCAGGAAACUGGGGCUAAUACCGGAUAGGAGCUCCUGCUGCAUGGUGGGGGUUGGAAAGUUUCGGCGGUUGGGGAUGGACUCGCGGCUUAUCAGCUUGUUGGUGGGGUAGUGGCUUACCAAGGCUUUGACGGGUAGCCGGCCUGAGAGGGUGAUCGGCCACACUGGAACUGAGACACGGUCCAGACUCCUACGGGAGGCAGCAGUAGGGAAUCUUCCGCAAUGGGCGAAAGCCUGACGGAGCAACGCCGCGUGAGUGAUGAAGGUCUUCGGAUCGUAAAACUCUGUUAUUAGGGAAGAACAAAUGUGUAAGUAACUAUGCACGUCUUGACGGUACCUAAUCAGAAAGCCACGGCUAACUACGUG
rnacentral:rRNA from 1 species